UACAGAGGUCUCAAGCGUUGUUCGGAUUCAUUGGGCGUAAAGGGUGCGUAGGCGGCGGGGAAAGUCUGAUGUGAAAUCCUGGGGCUCAACCCUGGAACUGCAUUGGAUACUUCCUUGCUAGAGUACUGGAGAGGAAACUGGAAUUUACGGUGUAGCAGUGAAAUGCGUAGAGAUCGUAAGGAAGACCAGUGGCGAAGGCGAGUUUCUGGACGAUAACUGACGCUGAGACGCGAAAGCGUGGGGAGCAAACAGG
rnacentral:rRNA from 1 species